GGAGUUCGAGACCAGCCUGGCCAACAUAAUGAAACCCUGUCUCUAUUAAAAGAUACAAAAAAUUAACUGGGUGUGGUGGCACACACCUGUAAUCCCAGCUACUUGGAAGGCUGAGGCAGGAGAAUCACUUGAACCAGGCAGGCGGAGGUUGCAUGAGCCGAGAUUGCACCAUUGUACUCCAGCCUGGGCGACGGGACCAACAGGGAUCUGGGCAUCUGCCCGCCACACCUGUCCUCCUGGGAGGCUGGGAGGCCUGGGGCCCCCACUCUCAAAGCCUACCCUUCUGGCCACUGUCUCUCUACAGUUACAGAGCAAAGGCCCCCGACCCACCCCUGCCGCCGUCACCAGAGGAGCAGCCCCACAAGCCCCCACAGCGUGGUCACACCUGGCUUGGGGGACAGCCGCACCCCACAUGCAAGGUAGCCCUUGGGAACUUCUGCUCCAGACGCACCAGGUGGGGAAGGCCAGAGCUGGCCAUUCAGGGUUUUUUAGGGCCAGACAAGAGCAAGGCCCUGUGUCUGCUCGGGAGGUGGAGCAGACCACACUGGCCCCAUGCACAGGGGCUCUUUGGGUCCCUCGUCCCAUCUUUCCAGCUCCUUCCAACUUUGCCCCCUGGACAUUUCUUGCUCUGACCCUCCCUUCCCUUAUUCCUGGCCUUGUCUCCCUCUGGGCCCAGGCCUUCCCAGACUGACUGGACAAAUUAGCAAGCAAUCACCAGCUUUGGCUUCUGCAGGGUCCAGACAGGCCAGGAGAACGGCUGGUGAGCCCACCGGACAGCAGGGCGGUUUCUGGUGCACACAUCGGGAUGUGAAGUUGCACCCCAUGUCUGCAGCUUGGACCUCACCACUGCUGUGUCUGGGCCGCAGGGAGCUGUUCUGGCACGUGACUCAGCCGUGGGAUGUUCGGGUGACUUCCUGUCUGAAACCUGCUCUCCUGUUGACCCCAGUGAAGGAUCCAAAGAGAGGAUUCAACUGACCUCACUUGAAUCGGCUAUUCCCGGACUGCCUGGCAAAGGCCAGAAGGCAUGGAGGGUGACAAUGGCCUGAGCCGGGUCCGCAUGUCACUCCUGGACCCCUCACCAGGGGGCGCAGAGGAGGCCUGGUGAACGUGACAGACCACCCAGUGGGGCGCAGGACGGGGCAGGUCCUAGGAGGCUGCUGGGGCCAGCGAC
rnacentral:lncRNA from 1 species